rnacentral:rRNA from 1 species
CCUACGGGCGGCAGCAGUGGGGAAUAUUGCACAAUGGUGGAAACCCUGAUGCAGCGACGCCGCGUGAGUGAAGAAGUUUUUCGGUAUGUAAAGCCCUAUCAGCAGGGGAGAAAAUGACGGUACCUGAUUAAGAAGCCCCGGCUAACUACGGGCCAGCAGCCGCGGUACUACGUAGGGGGCCAGCGUUAUCCGGAUUUACUGGGUGUAAAGGGAGCGUAGACGGCAGCACAAGUCUGGAGUGAAAUGCCGGGGCUUAACCCCGGAACUGCUUUGGAAACUGGCCAGCUAGAGUGCAGGAGAGGUAAGCGGAAUUCGUAGUGUAGCGGUGAAAUGCGUAGAUAUUAGGAAGAACACCAGUGGCGAAGGCAGCUUACUGGACUGUAACUGACGUUGAGGCUCGAAAGCGUGGGGAGCAAACAGGAUUAGAUACCCUAGUAGUC